UACGUAGGGUGCGAGCGUUGUCCGGAAUUAUUGGGCGUAAAGAGCUUGUAGGCGGUUUGUCGCGUCUGCUGCGAAAAUCCGGGGCUCAACCCCGGACUUGCAGUGGGUACGGGCAGACUAGAGUGUGGUAGGGGAGACUGGAAUUCCUGGUGUAGCGGUGAAAUGCGCAGAUAUCAGGAGGAACAUCGAUGGCGAAGGCAGGUCUCUGGGCCACUACUGACGCUGAGAAGCGAAAGCAUGGGGAGCGAACAGG
rnacentral:rRNA from 1 species